ensembl:lncRNA
GAUGUCAGCAUACACAGUAAAAUCUCCAGUGUUGAAAUCCCAGUGUUAAGGACUUUUAGAGUAAAGAGUUAAAGUUGUGGUGUUGAAUUUCAAACGAUUAACACUAGCUAGUGUAAACGGCACCCUCUUGCGGUGUUAACACGGAAAGUAACCCAUAUUAACACUGUUGAGUGUUAUUAAUAACAUCCGGGACAUUUUCUCGUGUGCGCGCAUAACCCAUCUGAAAUAUUUUUCAAAGACGCCAUUUUCUUUGCUCGAGAUGCGAAGUGCAUAUGGAAUUAAAACAGCGAAAUAAAGUGUUUAGUCUUACUUACAAAAUAUGUUUUGUAAUAUCAUAUCGUUUUAUAACGAUAUUUAUGUGCUGUAUGCGCCUAAACGUUUCUCAGAGACAUUUCCUUUCACUCGCGACGCGGAACAGACGAGGGAUUUUUUUCAAAACGGGAAAAUCCGAAAAGCGAUAUUUCAUUUCACCAGCGAUGCGAAGUAGACAGGGAAGUUGGUUUUAACAAGGAAAACACCGACAGUAACAAUUUGAAUUGCUCUGAAGUGCGGAAACACCAGAAAUAUUUUCUUUCACUCGCGAUGCUCUGGAGCAGAUGGGGAAGUUGGUUUUAACAAAGAAAACACCAAAAAUGGUUCAUGCUGGCUUAACAGAAAAAUCAAAAGGAGAUGAUGUGCUUGAAGAGUAUGAAGCCACCAAUAUAUGAGAGUUGUCCAACCUCAACGCAGAGAGAUCAGUAUGCACUUGGAAUUGUGACUGUCUCUGUCGUUAGAAGACCCAUUUUCUAGGGAAGGUGUGUGAUGCUGCAAAUAGGAGUGGAUAUCUUGCUUGGCUGAAAACUGCUGAGAAACGCAUCUUGUCGUGCUGAAAAAAAAGAAGUCUAGAAGAAAGAAAAAGACUAUUCUCUCCAAGGAGGUCCAAACACCAUCACAGACAUUGAUUAGUGAGCCUUAACAUGUAUUCUGCAUUUAUGGUAAUGAAUGGAAUGCUGUUGUUUAACCUGAUAAAUGUCAGCAUUAUAAAUCUUAUGACAUUAAGAGUACAUAUGGACCAAAUAAGAAUGUUUUUUGUGUCUUUGCACUGAUUUGCUUUGACAUUAUGAUGUUUAAUUGUUGUAAGGCCAUGCUCUUUACAUUGAAUUUUAGAAUUUUAGAUUUAGAAUUUAUUUAUUUGUUUUUAUUUUGAAUUGCUUUGAAUUGAAACAUUGAAAGUGAAGACAUUUUGGUGCAGGGAAAAAAAUUACAAUGUUUCAAUAAAAUAAAUAAAUGUAAACAUUUAUUGUUUUGUGGGUUUAUUUUUUAAUAUUUUCACCUGAACACUGGGGCAGUGUUGAACAGUUAAUCCAUCAGUGUUAACUUUGAACACCAACUUUGGUGUUCUCAUCAUCAAUUCUGGUGUUAAUAUUUUACACCUUAAGAGUUUGUUGGUUAACACUGUCAGAGUGUUAAUAAUGCUAACUCUUUCAAAAGUGUUAAUUUAACACUUUACUGGUGAUUCC